CUGGGGGUCAUUAUACCGUGUGGGAGCCACAGGGGGACAUGUCAAUGUAAAAAAAUGCCUCACGGGGGCCCACUGGGAUUUAUCGCCCAAGGGCCCACAUGAACCUGGAGCCGGCCCUGCAAUGUGGGCAUGACUACAGUGUCCUGGCACAAAGGGGGACUGUUAAGGGGGCUGGUUGUGUAUAAGUGAGCUUUGGGCGGAGUUAAAGGCGUGGCCUAGUAUGACAAAAUGGCUGGUGGGCUGCAUAUAUUGUCCCCGAUUCUCUAAAGUUGGGGGUAUGCUAGGCUAGUGAAUAUAAGAUGACAUGCAAUUUCCAUGCAGUAUUUAUGACCUUGAGCCCAGGCCAAACUUCAGGACUGAAUAAAUACAAACAGGUAAGCUCUAUAUUUUAGGUGCACUGUAGAAGAACACGAACGGCUGAUGACUGGUAAUCAAUUCACAGUGGAGAGAGAUCGCUAGAAAACGCACUGACUGAACUCCUAUAAAAUGGCGGCGGUUCUCCCCUCUAGUGUUCAGUCGCUGAGCCACAGCCCCUUUCCGAUCACGUGACUGCGUGGCUAUAUAACACAGCCGGCGAAGCCGUUUCCGUUUUGCCGACCUUGCCGCAGGUGUCUGUGUAGCCGAGAGCAGCAUGUCCUCCGCAGUGACUCGUCUCUUCCGGGUGCCCCGCUUGGCACAAUUCGUCUCCAGAAGGGGAAUGGCGUCACACGCGGCAAAUGCCGUGUGCAGCCCAGUGGAAACGGUUAUUGGCCUCACAACAUUUAUGAUCACCUUCCUGGUUCCAUCAGGCUAUAUCCUCGCCAACCUGGAUGAGUAUAAGAAGAGAGACUGAUGGCGGACAUCCCAUUCUGCAUUGUUACAUUCCACUUCCAGCGCUGUAUGGUGCGCUGGCUCUAAACGCACAUUAAUUUGUCGUCUGUUACAAUAAAACAUGUUUACAGCC